ACUCCUACGGGAGGCAGCAGUGGGGAAUAUUGCACAAUGGGCGCAAGCCUGAUGCAGCCAUGCCGCGUGUAUGAAGAAGGCCUUCGGGUUGUAAAGUACUUUCAGCAGUGAGGAAGGUGGAUAUGUUAAUAGCAUAUUCAUUUGACGUUAGCUGCAGAAGAAGCACCGGCUAACUCCGUGCCAGCAGCCGCGGUAAUACGGAGGGUGCGAGCGUUAAUCGGAAUUACUGGGCGUAAAGCGCAUGCAGGUGGUUUGUUAAGUCAGAUGUGAAAGCCCGGGGCUCAACCUCGGAAUUGCAUUUGAAACUGGCAAACUAGAGUACUGUAGAGGGGGGUAGAAUUUCAGGUGUAGCGGUGAAAUGCGUAGAGAUCUGAAGGAUACCGGUGGCGAAGGCGGCCCCCUGGACAGAUACUGACACUCAGAUGCGAAAGCGUGGGGAGCAAACAGGAUUAGAUACCCCGGUAGGCUCUGC
rnacentral:rRNA from 1 species